rfam:Asian citrus Psyllid, Diaphorina citri - Florida Strain, whole genome shotgun sequence.
GCCAAGUUAGCUUGGUUGGUAGCGCGUCUGCCUUGUAAGCGCUAGGCUGCGGGUUCGAUUCCCGCCCGGGGCA